GACGAACGCUGGCGGCGUGCUUAAUACAUGCAAGUCGAACGGAAAGGCCCUGCUUUUGUGGGGUGCUCGAGUGGCGAACGGGUGAGUAACACGUGAGUAACCUGCACUUGACUUUGGGAUAACUUCAGGAAACUGGGGCUAAUACCGGAUAGGAGCUCCUGAUGCAUGGUGGGGGUUGGAAAGUUUCGGCGGUUGGGGAUGGACUCGCGGCUUAUCAGCUUGAUGGUGGGGUAGUGGCUUACCAAGUCUUCGACGGGUAGCCGGCCUGGGAGGUGGACCGGCCACAAUGGGACUGAGAGACGGCCCAGACGCCAACGGUAGGCAGCAGGCGGGAAUAUUGCAGAAUGGGCGGACGCCUGAUGCAGCGGCGCCGCGUGCGGGAUGACGGCCUUCGGGUUAUAAACCGCUUUCGCCUGUGACGAAGCGUGAGUGACGGUAAUGAGUAAGGAAGCACCGGCUAACUACGUG
rnacentral:rRNA from 1 species